rnacentral:rRNA from 1 species
GAGGCAGCAGUGGGGAAUAUUGCACAAUGGGCGAAAGCCUGAUGCAGCGACGCCGCGUGGGGGAUGACGGCCUUCGGGUUGUAAACCCCUUUCAGUAGGGAAGAAGCGAGAGUGACGGUACCUGCAGAAGAAGCGCCGGCUAACUACGUGCCAGCAGCCGCGGUAAUACGUAGGGCGCAAGCGUUGUCCGGAAUUAUUGGGCGUAAAGAGCUUGUAGGUGGCUUGUCGCGUCUGCCGUGAAAACCCGAGGCUCAACCUCGGGCGUGCGGUGGGUACGGGCAGGCUAGAGUGUGGUAGGGGAGACUGGAACUCCUGGUGUAGCGGUGAAAUGCGCAGAUAUCAGGAAGAACACCGAUGGCGAAGGCAGGUCUCUGGGCCAUUACUGACACUGAGAAGCGAAAGCAUGGGUAGCGAACAGGAUUAGAUACCCUGGUAGUCCAUGCCGUAAACGUUGGGCACUAGGUGUGGGGGACAUUCCACGUUUUCCGCGCCGUAGCUAACGCAUUAAGUGCCCCGCCUGGGGAGUACGGCCGCAAGGCUAAAACUCAAAGGAAUUGACGGGGGCCCGCACAAGCGGCGGAGCAUGCUGAUUAAUUCGAUGCAACGCGAAGAACCUUACCAAGGCUUGACAUGCACUGGACG